UUAGAACAUCCAUCUCAAUCAACUUUUACACACUUACUAGCUACUAUUUAUACAAAAGCACUAAUUUGAACAUUUUUGAAGCAGUUUACCAGUUUCGAGACAACUGUGAAGAACAAAAUUAAACCAAUGGCUCCAAUCACGAAGAACACCAAACGGAAGGCUGAAAAUAAUCAAAAGGAGGAAGGACCUCAGAAGAGAGCCUGCAGGGACAAUGAGGCCCAUGAAGAGAACAAAUACUGGCCACUCAUGAGAGCCACAGGGUCCUCAUCUAAAGCCCAAGCAGAAGGGUCCAAAAGCUAUGAUUUCAUGAAGGACAUAGCCUUUACUCCCACUCCCUUCUACAGUGAUUCUUUUUCAUUUCCAAAUAAAUCAAUCACAAGGAACAAAAAACGGAAAGCUGAAAAAGAUCAAGAGGAGGAAGGACCUCAGAAGAGAGCCUGCAGGGACAAUGGGGCCUAUGAAGAGAAGAAAUACAGGCCACUCAUCAGAGCCACAAGGACCUUACCUAACGUCCCAUACAUAAACUGGUUUACCUCUCCCGACUACAGUGAAUGGCAUUCAGAACCAAUGACAACAACAACAGACCACGUCAUUGAAGUCCAUUUAACAAAGGGUAAGUGUUGUGGUGUUUGGAAUGAAAUGAGACAGAGUCAAGUUGUAGGGUUACUGGUCAGAUGCGGACACAGGGUUUAUUUGGGGCAGACCGGUCU
rnacentral:lncRNA from 1 species